UUUCGCGAUAGUUCCAGGCUGCGCUGUCAGUCAGAGAACUUCUGAGCCAAUCAGCGCGAGGAAGGGGCGGGGCGUGCGAGACAGCUCCCGAAGAGUCUGGAAGAUGCCCGGAGACUGUGUGACCGGGAGCGGCGAUUAUCGGCGAUGAGAAGGCUACAUUUAGGCGAGGCCUGGGCCAUACCAGCCAGUCUUCAGUGGGACUCGCAGAUUCCAUGGCCACAUGCUGGAGGUAACUGAUUCUGUAUCCGGCAUGCUCGUCAGUCUUCAAGAUUUUGGAGCCUGUGCACUCACAGAUGAGGAGGAUGAGGAUGGAGAACACGUCACCCACGAGAUCGCCGUCACUUUCCUUCCCACCCUGGAAGAAACUUUCUCAGUGCACAGUUAGGCGUCCUCCAUGUGCUCUCUGCAUUUUUUUGGAUAGCACACUGUUCCAUUCAUUUCUAUGGGAGCAUGCACACAUCCAUAUUUUUUGUGGAUUCAUAUGACUAUUCUGCAAACUAAAGAACCUGUGCUGUUCUGGACCAGAAUAGUCAUUUCUAUUGAUAGGAGUGAGAAAAUAUGGCAUGCACAAGGGGAGGGAUCUGUAUUUUGCAGAUCCAUGGUUUGCAGACUCAAACCGCAUGCAUGAGGCCUAACAGUCAGAGACACUCACAUGCUGGCUGCAGACAAACUUGGGGUGAAAAGUAAUAUUUUAUAUGUUCCAAAUCAGGGAUGACGUCUGCAGAUUGUCCGGAGAAAUCUAGACCCAAAGCUGGGACUACAAACAGUGAGGUGGGAAAACUGAGAUCCCAUAGAGAUCAUUGAAUUUGUGUCUGUGAAGGUUCUCAUUCAUCCAGUUCAUGGCAUAUGCUGUAUUUUCCGCACUAUAAGACACACCUAGGGUUUCAGGGGAGGAAAAUGAGAAAAACAUAGUUUUCAUCAGACCUUAGAUCAGACAAAAAUUGCAGUGCUGCACUGUGACCUGACAGUGUCAGGUCAUAGUGCCCGCUUACUUACCUGACUCUGUACGUUGCAGCACACAGCUUCAGCACCCAGAGGAGACGACCAGGGAGCGGUGAGUAAAGCCAGCACCAGGUUCACUAUAUUCACUGAUCCCCAGUCUGACUGUAAUAAUGACCACUUCUGAAAGCGCUCAUUAGUAUUCACAUUAUAAGGCCUCAUGCACACGACCGUAGUUCGGGUCCGCAUCCGAGCCGCAGCUUUUGCGGCUCGG